GUUAAUACGAUUUGAUCGAUACUUAUUAUUAGACAAGUAGAUAUUCAAGUUGUUUAAUAAAUGCUUGCUUUGGAAGCAAAGGGUUUAAAGUUAUGUGCCAAAGGGUCAAAAGGGAAAAUUGUUAGACCAGUGAUUCCCGCGGUCAAAUACACCACCAAAGAUGUAAAAAUCCGCACGGGGGUUGCUCCAAUGGCUGGACCCGUGGAUCUCAGCCGUGUGAUACAGAUUUUGGAGGAUCCAUUUUCAAGCACUCUGGAAGAGAGACAUCUUUUUGUCCUGAAGAAAAUGGUGAAAAGAUACCAGAAUGGCUUU